rnacentral:rRNA from 1 species
UACGUAGGGUGCAAGCGUUAUCCGGAUUUAUUGGGCGUAAAGGGCUCGUAGGCAGUUCGUCGCGUCCGGUGUGAAAGUCCAUCGCUUAACGGUGGAUCCGCGCCGGGUACGGGCGGGCUUGAGUGCGGUAGGGGAGACUGGAAUUCCCGGUGUAACGGUGGAAUGUGUAGAUAUCGGGAAGAACACCAAUGGCGAAGGCAGGUCUCUGGGCCGUUACUGACGCUGAGGAGCGAAAGCGUGGGGAGCGAACAGG